CUUGGCAAAAUAUAGAACUC
rnacentral:miRNA from 1 species